GGAAUCUUCCACAAUGGACGCAAGUCUGAUGGAGCAACGCCGCGUGAGUGAAGAAGGUUUUCGGACCGUAAAGCUCUGUUGUUGGUGAAGAAGGAUAGAGGUAGUAACUGGCCUUUAUUUGACGGUAAUCAACCAGAAAGUCACGGCUAACUACGUGCCAGCAGCCGCGGUAAUACGUAGGUGGCAAGCGUUGUCCGGAUUUAUUGGGCGUAAAGCGAGCGCAGGCGGAAGAAUAAGUCUGAUGUGAAAGCCCUCGGCUUAACCGAGGAAUUGCAUCGGAAACUGUUUUCUUGAGUGCAGAAGAGGAGAGUAGAACUCUAUGUGUAGCGGUGGAAUGCGUAGAUAUAUGGAAGAAUACCAGUGGCGAAGGCGGCUCUCUGGUCUGCAACUGACGCUGAGGCUCGAAAGCAUGGGUAGCGAACAGGAUUAGAUACCCUGGUAGUCCAUGCCGUAAACGAUGAGUGCUAAGUGUUGGGAGGCUUCCGCCUCUCAGUGCUGCAGCUAACGCAUUAAGCACUCCGCCUGGGGGAGUACGACCGCAAGGUUGAA
rnacentral:rRNA from 1 species